rnacentral:rRNA from 1 species
GACGUAGGGCGCGAGCGUUGUCCGGAUUUAUUGGGCGUAAAGAGCUCGUAGGCGGCUUGUCGCGUCGUCCGUGAAAACCCACAGCUCAACUGUGGGCUUGCGGUCGAUACGGGCAGGCUAGAGUUCGGUAGGGGAGACUGGAAUUCCUGGUGUAGCGGUGAAAUGCGCAGAUAUCAGGAGGAACACCGGUGGCGAAGGCGGGUCUCUGGGUAGUAACUGACGCUGAGGAACGAAAGCGUGGGUAGCGAACAGG